CACCUUUGAAGUGUCCAUCAAAGUACACGAAGGAGACGUCUUUGCCCUUCUUCUUCCACUCGAUGCGCGGGUACUGGUCUUGCUCCGUGCGGAACGUGCAGGACAGCACUGCGUCUGAAGUUGAAGGGGGAACGUGACCGAGAAUCUGAGAGAAGCGACUGAAUAAAAAAGAGGAGGGGACCAGAGAUUUUUCAGCUCUCCGCUGCCUCACCUGAGUUCUCGCGCACCUCCACCUUGUGCGCGUUGGUCGACACGGUGACAGGAGCAGACGGGGAACCUGGUGGUGGUGCGAGAGGAGGAAGAAGAAGAAGAGGAGGAGGGGGAGAGAGAGAGAGAGAGAGAGAGAGUGGGAGAUAAAAAUAAAAAGGGGGAUGACAUGGAACAAUGGAGGGCGAGCCCGAGACAAAGGACAGGAAGUGUGAACACGAAACAGGAAGGCGGACAUGUUGGACGUGCGUACCAAGUGGAAUUAAUGAGCAGGCCCCCGAAAGCUCCUCUAAGAGUUGGCUCGAUCACUCGGUCAAACUUUGGGCUAAGUGAAUUAAAACUGCACGCUCUCCCUCCAGACGCCGCC